AAAAAGAUAAGCUAAUUUAAGCUACUGGGUUCAUACCCCAUCUAUGGGAGUUCUAAUCCCCCUCUUUUUA
rnacentral:tRNA from 1 species